UUGGGAAUUUUGCACAAUGGGCGAAAGCCUGAUGCAGCAACACUGCGUGAAGGAAGAAGGUUUUCGGAUCGUAAACUUCUUUUAUCAGGGAAUAAACUUGAAGGUACCUGAUGAAUAAGCACCGGCUAACUACGUGCCAGCAGCCGCGGUAAUACGUAGGGUGCAAACGUUAUCCGGAUUUACUGGGCGUAAAGAGCUCGUAGGUGGUUUUGAAAGUUGAAUAUUAAAUAUCCCGGCUCAACUGGGAGAAAGUAUUCAAAACUUCAUAACUGGAGGUAUGUAGGGGAGGAUGGAACUCAUAGUGUAGCAGUGAUAUGCGUAGAUAUUAUGAGGAACGCCAAAGGUGAAAACAGUCCUCUGGACAUUACCUGACACUGAGGAGCGAAAGCGUGGGGAGCGAACGGG
rnacentral:rRNA from 1 species